GUACCGCAGCUGGAUAGGGGCAGGAUAAGUAGGGAGGGGAAAUCUUCAUACCCUAAGGAUGGAGGAGAGAAGGAGGCAACACCACGCUGUGGUCUGGCCUGGGAGUGUUCAAUCUUUGUGCAGCAAAGGUCAAUCUACUGCUAGUGAACAUUUUAUAUUUUAGUAAUCUCACUAUGCUGAAAGAAUCACUCUCUUCUAUCCUAGGCUAAGGGAUUAUUAAAAAGUUUUUCUGAAACUUUAAACAUUAUGGGUUUUAGGCUUCAGGAAGUGAUGGAAACCCCCAAAAUGUGUCCAUCUGAAGAAAGUCCUUUUCUUUCCUUAAUACAAACUACAGGAAAUAGAAGUUUAAAAAACUUCCAAGAUUUAUCUUCAUUUUAUCUUCUUUCUCUCUCCACCAACCAAGAUUCCCUACUUCUGAGGCACAUUCCCUCAAAGAAGUGGGUGGGAUGAGGUAGAGUGGUUUCUAAGAUUUUCAUAGUGAUCAAAAGAGGGUGCGUGUUACAGACUGAAUCUUUGUGUCCCCCUAAAAUUUGUAUGUUGAAAUCCUAACCCCUAAGGUGGUGGUAGUAAGAAAUGGGCCUUUGGGAAGUGAUUAGGUCAUGAGGGUGGAGGCAUCAAGAAUGGGAUUAGUGCCGUUACAAAAGAGACCCCAAAGAGCUCCCUUGCUCCUUCUGACUUGUGAGGACCCAGCAAAAGGACAACUGUCUAUAAACCACGAAGUGGGUCCUCACCAGAGCUCAACCAUCCUGGCCUGCUCUCAACUGACUGGAUGAGGCCCGCGCAUUAUGGAGGGAAGUGCUGCCUGCUUCACAAGGGAGUGACCGUGGCUCCUAUGACUGCUUCAGUCAAGUUUCAAGCUAUUAACAGAUCCUUGCACUGAGAAAAUGGUUUAAAUUGUUAAAAUAUUAGAUGACGAUUCUGCAAAAGAUUUUUAUUUUAAGCUCAUUUGCUGACCUCAGGCUGCAAGUCACUAAGUUUCUGAAAUUUAAAAUCCUGCUAAUAUGUGAUUUUGUUUAAUAAUUGCAACCUGGCUUCACAUUGUAUUCGCUUGUAGACCUUUUCAGGUACUUAGGCCUGGGUCCCAGCCAAGGGCUUCUGAUUUAAUUCGUUUGGUCUGCAGACUGGGGAGUAGGAUUUUUCAAAGCUUGGCAGAUGAAGCUAAUGUGCAGCCAGAAUUGAGACCC
rnacentral:lncRNA from 1 species